GAUGAAGAACGCAGCGAAAUGCGAUAAGUAAUGUGAAUUGCAGAAUUGAGUGAAUCAUCGAAUCUUUGAACGCACAUUGCGCCCGCCAGUAUUCUGGCGGGCAUGCCUGUCUGAGCGUCAUUUCAACCCUCAUGCCCCUAGGGCGUGGUGUUGGGGAUCGGCCAAAGCCCGCGAGGGACGGCCGGCCCCUAAAUCUAGUGGCGGACCCGUCGUGGCCUCCUCUGCGAAGUAGUGAUAUUCCGCAUCGGAGAGCGAUGAGCCCCUGCCGUUAAACCCCCAACUUUCCAAGGUUGACCUCAGAUCAGGUAGGAAUACCCGCUGAACUUAAGCAUAUCAAUAAGCGGAGGA
rnacentral:misc_RNA from 1 species